UACGUAGGGUGCAAGCGUUAAUCGGAAUUACUGGGCGUAAAGCGUGCGCAGGCGGUUUUGUAAGACUGUCGUGAAAUCCCCGGGCUUAACCUGGGAACUGCGUUUGAAACUACAAGGCUAGAGUGUGGCAGAGGGGGGUGGAAUUCCACGUGUAGCAGUGAAAUGCGUAGAGAUGUGGAGGAACACCGAUGGCGAAGGCAGCCCCCUGGGCUAACACUGACGCUCAUGCACGAAAGCGUGGGGAGCAAACAGG
rnacentral:rRNA from 1 species